UGGUGGAGUAAAUGAUAGUGAUGGUAAAAAUGUAUAAGUGAUAAUAAAACUUACUUCUCAUCGCUCCUCAUAUUGCUAUCUCUCCUCUUCUUUGAUCUUUGCUUUGGGAUAACAUGGGCUAUCUUUCUUUUUUUUCAGGUGGGUAGUAGACACCCUUAAUUCCAUUGUCGGACACUUGUCCAUUUUUUCCGCUCAAGUGGGCAUCGUUGUACCCCUAAUUCUACUCCGGACACUUGUCCAUUUUUACCUCUCGUCUCGCUCUUUUUCUUUCUUUUUCGAGGUUCCGGGCACUUGCCCCUUUUUAUUUCCUCGCAUAUUUUUGCAUAACCUAUGCCUCUUCUGCAUUGAAUAUUUUUAGAGAGAGAGAAUAACAACACUUGGGACAGUGAGUGAUAAUAUUUUUAGCAAUUUUAAUGAAUGGUGGUGGAUGGUGUAGUAGAUGUGUGCAAGUGAAUAUCUUAAUUUAACCACAUGAAAAGCUCCUAAGGGUAUACACAGCUCAAUCAAACUCAAUGUGAAUAUAGUAAAAGAUGUUAUAGCAAGUAUGGCUAUGGUAGGAAGUUUGUAAUGCUAGGAACUCAUCAUGUGAUUUGUAAGUUUUCAAAAUAAAUCUCCAGAACUUAGUGUAGCAGGAACAAGAUAAACAGUAGCUCAAACUUUAUAUCAUGCCUUUCUCUUACCUAGACUUUAGUUUUAUGCUUCCUAUAGAUAGUAAUUUCAGUUUUAAUAAUUCCUGGAAGAACUCUAAUAUAAAAGCUAGGUUCUUGAAAGUAAGCAAACAGAGCAACUGUUCAUCAUUUCCAUCAUGUAUCUUUUUGGUCUUUUUAUUUUUUUUCUAGAGAUUAACACUUAGCAGAUAAAUAAAGCACACUUAUCUACACACUCUUUUUAUUUUGUUUUCAUGUUUAUAAAAUACAGUAAUUUAAGGUAAUAAAAUAUUUAUUGGGUUUUCUAAGUUUUUCUCUUUAAAAUAAAAAUACUAAAAUAGAAAAGAAUAAAUAAGAAAAGCAAAUAAAAACUUACUUGAUAAAACGGGGAGGAACUCCCCCAAGCUGGAUGUGGUUUUACCCAAUGUUCCAGAAUCGCAUCAUGGUGGUGAUGUUGUCGUUCAUUGUCGUGGUGUCUUGUCUCAGUUCUUGUACUGCAGUGGCGUGAUCCUGGUCCCACUUUUGUUGCUGUUCCAGGAGUCGUCCAUGUUCCGCUUGCGUAUUUUGGAUGUCGAGGAGGGUGUUGUUGGUACGGGUGAAGAAAGCGCCGGCCUCUUGGUAGUAGUUGUUCGUGAAAGCAUAAGAGGCGUCGGAGUAUCGUCCUGCAUCGAAUUGGGGCGGAGGUCUGGACCCUAAAGCUCCAUAUGGAUCAGUGGAGUACCUGCCCGUAUGGAAAGGCGGGUUUGUCCACUGGUGAUAUUGGCUCUCCGGCCAUGUCUCAUGUGUUGGCUCU
rnacentral:lncRNA from 1 species